rnacentral:lncRNA from 13 species
CCCCUCUAUCAUUACUCAUCCGCUCUAUCAUUCCUCAUCCCCUCUAACAUUCCUCAUCCCCUCUAUCAUUCCUCAUCCCCUCUAUCAUUCCUCAUCCCCUCUAUCAUUCCUCAUCCCCUCUAACAUUCCUCAUCCCCUCUAUCAUUCCUCAUCCCCUCUAUCAUUUCUCAUCCCCUCUAACAUUCCUCAUCCCCUCUAUCAUUACUCAUCCACUCUAUCAUUCCUCAUCCCCCCGUCAUGUACAAUAUGUGAAACAUCAUUUUUCCAGUGCUGAUAUAAGACUCUGUCAAUAUGGAAGAGUGGCUGGAACAACCUAGAUCAUGGGUCCUGAGGUUGUUUUCCAAGGUAACAAGAGGAGUCCUUGGAACAGCAAGGCAUGUGAGGAACUCAACAAGAAGGCAGCUUUUAGCUUCUGGAGAAUCACGUCUUACAGAUGUACCUUCAAUAUUUUGUAUGAAAUAUUGGGAAUUCCUAGAGCAUCAACCACAUUUAUUCCAAAGGAAAUGCCACAAUGUAUUCCAAACAUAAAUAUAAGUGAUUUUUGGAUUCUCUACUUUUGUUCAUCUCCAGUAGCUUAGAAUAUUGAGUCAACUACAUGUGAACUUCUUAUUCAUAUCUAAACAGAAUAUAGCCUCCUCUGAAUUAUUCAUGAUAAUUAUGGGGAAAGAGAAGAAAUGUCAUGAAUAAAUUAAAUUUAUAGAUGAACA